GCCUAGGACACCGCCCUUUCACGGCGGUAACAGGGGUUCGAGUCCCCUAGGGGACGCCA
rnacentral:tRNA from 1 species